GCCAAGUUUAUUGCACGCAAACAGUGGAAUGUUGCAGGGGCUGAUGAUCGGUUUAUUCAUGUAUAUAAUUACAUCACAAAGGAUAGAGUUAAAAGAGUUUGAGGCACAAAAAUUUAACAUUAGUUGUGUGGCAGUUCAUCCUACCCUUCCUUACGUGUUGUCAUCAGCUGAUGACAUAAAGCUUUGGAAUUGGGAAAACGACUGGAUCUGUACCCAGACAUUACUGUGACAUUCUGAUUCUGUCAUGCAAGUGACAUUUAAUCCUACAGACCUAAAGACCUUUGCCAGUGCAUCUCUUGAUUGCACCAUAAAGAUUUGGAAUCUUGACUCUCCUCAUCCCAGUUUUGCAUUGAAUGGCCAUCAAGGAAGAGUGAAUUGUGUCGAUUACUUUACAGAUGGUGACAGACCUUAUUGGUUCUGAUGAUCUCACUGCCAAGGUAUGGGAUUAUCAAACCAAAAGUUGUGUCCAUACUCUAGAAGGUCACGCGCACAAUGCAUCUGCUGUCUGCUUUCAUCCUGAACUGCCUAUAAUCAUUACUGGCCAUAAGGAUGGCACAGAGCGCAUUUGGCAUUCAACAACUUACGGGUAAUUUUAAGUUGUUCACAGAUUACUGGGCUUAGAGCUUUACUUUUUUUUAUUUAAUUUGGUAAAUAGUUCUUGCCUUUUGGCCUCAAUGUCAUCACUCCAUUAUAGGAACUUGAAUAAUUUGAUUUUGGUUGACUUUUUUU